rnacentral:sRNA from 1 species
GACGAAGAAAUUCUGCAGCCGUCGCUGG